UACAUAGGGUGCAAGCGUUAAUCGGAAUUACUGGGCGUAAAGCGUGCGCAGGCGGUUUUGUAAGACUGUCGUGAAAUCCCCGGGCUUAACCUGGGAAUGGCGAUGGUGACUGCAAGGCUAGAGUUUGGCAGAGGGGGGUAGAAUUCCACGUGUAGCAGUGAAAUGCGUAGAUAUGUGGAGGAACACCGAUGGCGAAGGCAGCCCCCUGGGUCAAAACUGACGCUCAUGCACGAAAGCGUGGGGAGCAAACAGG
rnacentral:rRNA from 1 species